UAAUGUAGGGUACACCAUUUCGUGAUCUCAUUGCUAAUAUAGCGUACACCACUCCCUAGUCUCUUUACCAGUAUAGGGUACAUCAUUCCCUAGUUAAUGAUCUUAAAUGUAGGGUACAACAUUCCCUGAUCUCAUUGCUAAUAUAGGGUACAUUACUCCCUAGUCUCUUUUUCAGUAUAGGGUACAUCACUCCCUAAUCUCUUUUUCAGUAUAGGGUACACCAAUCCCUAAUUGUGUUUUUCAACACAGGGUACACCAUUAACAAACCAGAUUGAUUAUAUGGAAGAACUAGGUUGCAUGUACAGGUUACUGUGAGCACGUAAUUUUUGCCUCACCUGAAAUUGCUCCUAAAAGGUCUAAAAAUAGUAUUAUCAAUUAUUUUGAUUUUUCUUGAAACUUUAAAGAUUUUUUCUUUGUUAGUUUGUAUGCAUUAUUUGUAUUACUAAGAGCAUGUUAAAUCAUAGAAAAUCACCAAAAAUACCUUUUUAUUUCAUUCAUCGUAUUUUCAGAUUCUAAUUGCAUUGCUGGCACUCAAAUGCCUGCUAAUUGCAGUUUUUAUUAAACACAAAAUCAUAAAAAUAUAUUAGCUAAUAACUCUGCAUUUUUGGACCUACUUACUCACAUAAUUAGUAGGAUAAUUUAUAAUUUUUAUAGUAAGUCAUUAGAUAGAAUCAGUUAGUAGGAUAAUUUUGCAAAUGGUAUGUCAGUUGAUUAGUGGCUAAUUGUAAAAUGAAGAAGAAGGGAGGAUAAGGCUACUAAGCUCAAAAUGAGACUGGGCCACGAUUUUGGGCCCAGUUUUACUAAGAAUACCCGUGCAGUACAAUUCAAUACCCGGUCCAAACAAUCUUAGCAUCAGACCAUCUAAACAAAGUAGUCUCGCAACAUAGCUAUGUCAUUUCACUGAUUUUCCCUUUAUAAUAAAAAUGAUUGAUAAAAAUUCAAUAUUUAUACACCACCCCUAAUCCCCAUUCUCUCUCAUCUCUCUUGGGCGGCCAAAAAUUGCUUUCACCGCCCACUGUCCUCCUUCCGCCUUCACGCCGUGGAGGACCACCGUCUGAUCGCCGCCGAAAAUCGCCACGGCGGCGGACCACCACCAAUUGGCUAAAUAUUUUCACCAGAUACUCCUCACUCCUCCUCGUCCCUAAUUUCUCAACCAUUUCCGUAAAAAUCCACCCAAACUCCACGAUUAGUAGACCUGGGAAUUUAAGUCUUUCUUGAUUCCUCUUCUAUUCUUACACGUCUGAGGUUAAAAUUCACACUAAUCGACAUCUCUUGAUGAGUAUUGUCGAUUGGUGGUGGUUUCGUCUCAUUUCGUGGCCAUCGGGGCCCGAUCAAAUUCUGGUUGACCGGCCAGUCCUCUCAAAGCUUCUUCGUUCAUCACCUCCAGCAUGCAAGAGCUAUUGCUACAUAUAGCACUGGCCGGCGUGACAAAUUUUGGUUGGUGCUUGUGUAGCAAUCCUCUGGCUCAUCGGAAUUUUCUCUUGACAGCUCGGUUUGAUCCAAUAGGUUGAAUGAAGAGUUUAAACUUGUACGAGUCAAAGGCAUCAGGAGAUAUGAAUUAAUUAUCGGAAACCUUAUUUGUUAUGACAUUGUUUAAUCCCAGAAAUGUAGGAUGCUAGUUCAUAAAAGCGUUUGUUAUUAUAAAUUCAAGUCAAGAUUUCUGAUGUAGUGAAUUUGGUGUUGUAAUUUUAAAUCCGGAUGAACAUGUACUCAUGCUUAGAUUAGUUCGUAGUUCUUUCAUUUUUUGCA